GCCCGGGCCUGCGCGGCCGAGCCCGCCCAGCGGGGAGCGGGCGGCCCCACCGGCCUCCUGCCUGCUGCCGGCUGACAUUCAGUGGAACGGAUGUAAUGAACAUAUGACUCUAAACUUCAGCUUCUGGAUCUAAGGAAGGCCUUUCAUUCAUACUGAUCUCCAGCUAUAAAAGAAACAAGAAUCUGUUAUGGCUUAAGCUUGGCAGGCUUCAGCAAAAUUCCAGCCCUUCAAAUGCAUUCAGUUAACAUGCUGCAUAUUGACUCACUGCUUACUCACGUGACCCACAUUUAAAUUACACUUUCUCAUUUUUGUAGCAUAUCAUAAAUAAUGGUUUAAUCCUCACAGCCUGAUGAAGUCAGUUGGCAUCGUUUUUCCUUGCUAAUGGAAGAAAAGUUUGUAGGAAAAAGUAAGAUAUUUUAUUAGAUGUCAUUAUUGCUUUCAGCUUUAUUUCAAGGAAGUGCUCCUGUAAAUUUGAGCUGAGCUAGCUAAUGAAAACAUACCAAAAGUAAUGGAGGAACUGAUUGUAAUCCCAGGUGGCUAAGAAAGAAGAGAAUGCUUUACCAUCAAGUUACCUGUGCUUUAUAGUCCAGCUGUUCUGAAGGAAGUUUGAAGGGAAUUUGAAUUUACCAAUAUUUAAGGGUAACACUUGGACACAGCAGCUCAACAUAACUGACAGUGAGGGGUACUGAUCCUAAGAUUAGUCUUUGUCGACUUCAGUAACAGCAUCUUUCUUGAGACUGCUUAAAGGACCAGCUUAGUGGAGGAAUGGAAGUGCACCUUUUCCACAAGUUAUACAGCCUGGAAGUCCCAGUUUGCAGCUAAUUUUCCUGCAUUGUCACUCCAAGGAAAGUUGCAGGGAGAAGCACAGCAAACUUGUCUAACUGAGAACAAGCAAAGCAGUGAGUCUUUCCUUAUAGGGCACCAGGAGGCAUAAGGACAUAAGGGAAGGAAAGUGGGGAACAAAAAUCCUCAAGAUCUGCUGUUGGAGAACUUGGAGUUUGUGCUGUGUGGCUGCCAGUUUGAUAUGACACGUGUUCACUAGUUACUUGAUUGUGUUACUUCAUGGAAAGUAGUUACUUUCUACAGAACACAUCAUAUGUGUAUCCUGAAGCAUGGUUGGACAUGAGAAACCCCUGUAUUACAGAAAAGAGACAUUUUGGAACAGAAACAACUGCUUUGAACGUUUGGCACACAGCACUGCUACGGUUUGUGCAGACUUCGCAUUGCAGGAGCAGCCUGACUUCAGGAUUUGACUUCAGGAUUUUACUGCCACCCCCUAACUGACAAAUCCAAGGCCCCCACGCGAAGAACACUGUCCAUGGCAGCAGCACAGGCUGCCCUUCAGGAACACCACCACCUGCAUUCGGGAGGGAUGGACCUGACACAGGACCUCUGCGCUGGCACACGUGUGGAGCCGGAGAGCCAUGGAGACCAUUUCCUGACUUUGGUGACACAGAAAUGCAGCACUGCUGGCACCAGAGGAGGUUCUCCAGAUGAUUCCCCUACCAGCAAUGGUCAGCGAUGUGGCCACCAGAGCCAAGGUGGGGGUCCAAGAUCCCUGGGGUAAGGACAUCCGUCACCCUGUUACGGCUCCAAUAGGCAGCAUUGGCUGAAGAUGCAUCUGACUGUCCCUGUAGAAAAGAAAACCCAGCCUCUGAGGCUUUCCAAGUUUUUCGUAGUGAUGCAAGAUGGGUAAAAUCCUGCCCAAAAGGAAGGAAUACUCUGAGAAGCAGGGAAUAAAAUCCGUGACUUCAUCUUCUAGCAGAAGAACAAGGCUUGUAAGACCCCUGAGGAUGGCAAAUGGUAUCAUUUAAAACUGAAG